GUAUUAUACUUUAGUUGAAAAUUUAUUUAAGCUGGAGUAGUAAUCAGUUAUGUUCUUGAAACUUAAAGGAUUUGGCGGUAUCUUAGUCUAGUUAGAGGAACCUGUUUUAUAAACGAWAAACCACSAAAUWUCUUACUUUCUUUARUAAAAUCAGUUUGUAUACCGUCAUUAAUARAUAAUCUUUAWAAAGAGUUAUUGGAAUAGGGUUUUACUAAAAUAUUARAUCAAGGKGCAGCCAAWGGGGAAGAAAGUAAUGGGUUACAAUGUUAUUUAGUAUAAACGGAAAGGAAAUAGAAUGUUUCCUGGAAGGUGGAUUUAAUAGUAAUUGUAUU
rnacentral:rRNA from 1 species